CUAUGUAAAUGGCAACUAUGUUACCUUAUGGCCUCUUUACAAAGAUUCUUCGAAACUCAAAAUAGCUAUAACAGGGAGAGUGGACCCACAGCCUAAUUGGAAGAUAUUUAAAAUUAACAUUGUCUUCCAAACUCGUACGAUAAUUAUUAAUAUUUCAAUUAAUGAUUUAUUUGAUAACUCUAUGAGGUUAUCACUCACUUCUAAUUAGAAUAAAUUCUAGAAAAUUUGCAUGUAAUAAAAUAACUAAACGUUUUCUGCCAAAUUAUAUAUAUAUUUUUGUUUAAGUAAGAGAAAGAUAUAUAUGUAAAAUUUACGUAUUAUAUAUAGCAUAGAUUUUGCAUUUUAAUUUACUUCUUUCAUUUCACUGACUUUUAACCCACAACCACUUUUAAUCCUUCAAAAAAUACAACAGAAUAGAGACAAACGCAAGUAUGAAUUUAAUUUUAGAGCAAUAACUAAGGGAAAUGGAUUUCCAUGGCAUGCAUUUAAAAUAAGUUUUCAAGUUUAAUUUAUAGCGAUGUUGGGGAGUUGUCUGCAGAUACUGAUGUGAGUAUGCAGCAUGUGGAUGCAAACACGGAGGAUGAAUUUGGAAUUAACAGUGGAAAUGAUAUGACUCCAAGGCACAACCACAUCAAGAGUUUCUUUUGGAAAAUGCGAUACGUGUGUAGAGAUUAAAGGUUUUCUCUUUUGGAUUGCUAGGAGGGAAGGAUCCCACUGAUGGAGUCAGAAAAAAUACUUACUAGAAUCAUCUCAAAUAAACUGGCCACUGAAAUGAACUGUGUUGGAGGACGUAAAAGGUCCAUACAGGAGUUUCCCUCUAUUUUAAAGCUAAUUUUAGGAUCUCUAAGGAGCAACAAGUUCUUUGAAAAAACUCAACAAAAUGUUGUGGAGGAUGUAGUAAAAAGAUGGCUAAGAUCGGCGGGCGAUCGUGAUGGUGGAAGAUCCAGAAGAAUGAAGAGGUCGAUACAAUUAGCAGAAGCAAAUAUUUUGUAGCAAUAAUAAUAAAAAAAUUUCUGUUUUUUCA